AGUAAAGUUGCAAUCAUGUGAGCUAUCGGCUUUUUGAUUUAUUUUUUUGUUUUAUAUUCAUAUAUUUUUGUUCCCCUAUUGAUAGUAAAUGAUUAAGAACCUUUUUUUCCUUUCUUUUUUUUGGACUGUACAGGACUUCCUCUGAUUCCUCUGAUAGUCAUGAUUGGUACACCUUAAGGGCUAAAAUGUUUACUGGUCAUGUAAAUGUGCUAAAUAAUUUGGAGUUAGGCAGUUACCUGGCAGCAGCUAAAUUGGAUAAUUAUAUAAAUGAGCAGAUGUGGAGGUGUUCCUAAUAAAGUGGUGGGUGAGUGUAUAUUGUAAUAAGUAGGAUGUCAGGGCUCCUAAAGUUAAUUAGUAUUAGACAGCCAUUAGCCUGGGGCUAAUUAAUUAGAUGACUUUACUACCAGCCGUGUGGACAUAUCAACUAUGUUUCUGAUGGUUUUAGCUAGAAUGAGUCAUCCUCAAAAUAACAGCACUCCUUUCUAUGUGAGUGUGUUGGACUUCUGAAACAGGAAAGGUGAGCAUUAGCUUUGCGAAAAUAGUUUGGACAUUUUCAGGUAACACUUUUGGCAUCGUUUGAAAAAGGUACGUCUUUGGUACGUGACAUGCGAGCCAUUUUUACAUUUCAGAUGGCUUUUUCCUAGCGAGUGCCACAGUGUGAGGUUCACUUAUGCCAUUAAACUCACCAGUGUCAUGUGUGAGUCAGUUACUGAGUCAAGGACUGGAGUUUUGAAAUGACAGAUAUGCAUGUCUAUUUGGAUUUAAUCUUUUAGUAGACCGUCUUAUACAGUGUGACUAUCUAUUACACAGCUCGUACCAAUAAUUAUCAUUAAAUCAAUGGCCCCAGGCUUAUAAAAUGUAUCAUCACGUAACCUGUCGGCUAGUGCCUGAAGCUCAGCAGAGGCUGUCUCAGGAUGGUUUACCCUCAUCUCUUGCUCUUUGUUUUCACUUUGCCUCUAUCAUUCAUCUGUUCGUCUUCACUCACCAGCAUAUGUAGCUUAUUUUUUGUUUUUGUUUGUUGUUUUGUUAUUUUUUUAGGGUAUGCUAAACAAUUUAGCAAUUUUCAUUACCGAGUUCAACUUUGUGUGGGUAUUUUUCAAAAUGAUAUUGGAUCCACAGUUUUUAAACUGUUGUGAAUAUACUCCAGCACUGACAAAAUGGGCUCUUUGUUGUUUCUUCUGUCAAUUUCAACCUGCCCCUCUUUUUCCCCUCUUAUGUGUCCCUUUGACUUCUUUUUUUCCCAUCUCUCUUCUUCCUUUUCUUCGCUGGUUAUCUUUUCUCUCCUCCACUCUGUUGUGUUUUUUUUUGUUUUGUUUUUUUACAUCAGGGUCACUUUUGACCCGAACAAGCGUCAGUGUGCUGCUAAAUCAGGGACGGGGGCCCCCUCUGUGCCCCCCACCCUGUCAGCCCCUUCCAACCCUGCGCCAAAGACUCUUAAGUCUCAACCGAGUUUGAGAGAAGCGGGAGAUUUGAGGGCACAAGUCGCCAUGUACCUGGGGAUCAGCAAAAAGAUGAAGGGAAAGAUGGAAAAGACGGGAAACCCCGCUCUCUCCGUUUCACCUGGAGUAUGAACACCACCAGCAGCAUGGAGCCAGCCACCAUCAUGAAUGAAAUCUGCAAAGUUCUAGACGCCAACAACUGCGACUAUGAACAGCGUGAACACUUCCUGCUUCUCUGUGUCCAUGGUGAUGGACAUGCUGACAGCCUUGUCCAGUGGGAGAUGGAGGUCUGCAAACUGCCCCGCCUCUCACUCAAUGGUGUCCGUUUUAAGAGGGUCUCUGGGACAUCCAUUGCUUUUAAAAACAUUGCUUCUAAAGUUGCCAGUGAGCUCAAGCUAUGAAUGUCUAAUCUAUUCAUGUAGAAGAAAAAUAACUUAAAUCCUAUAUAGAGAAACAAAGCUGUACAAUCACAAACAUAGCAGUUUGCAAAAUGUAUGCAUUUUUUUAACAAACCACUUACCCUAUUUACCAUGUAAGGCUAUGUAAAAUCUUUGAAGAGCCAAAAUACUUUUAAAUUUCUUCAGUUAUUCUGCACCUCAGUCAGGUUUGUCGUCAAGAUUUUGUGCUUGUAAUUGAAUGUGAUCCAGCGACCCAGUUUGAGUUCACUUUCACUGUGUGAAUGCUGCAAGACCGGAGUGAAAAGUUUUAUUUAUUUUAUGCCCAUUACCCAUGUGUAAAUAAUGCACCUUUUGAUUUUAAUUAUUACAUUGUUGCCAUUCCUCAUACUCUCAAGAGCUCUAAUAUUUUAAUGAGCUACUUGUAAUUGCUCACAGCUAUGGAUUCUAUUAAAUCAGCUGUACAUGACUGGCUUUAUUUGCUAGCUUAAAUUGUUCUUUCAGUCUAUACUCAUUACUUACUCAAA